rnacentral:rRNA from 1 species
UGCUCCCGGAUGUUAGCGGCGGACGGGUGAGUAACACGUGGGUAACCUGCCUGUAAGACUGGGAUAACUCCGGGAAACCGGAGCUAAUACCGGAUAGUUCCUUGAACCGCAUGGUUCAAGGAUGAAAGACGGUUUCGGCUGUCACUUACAGAUGGACCCGCGGCGCAUUAGCUAGUUGGUGAGGUAACGGCUCACCAAGGCGACGAUGCGUAGCCGACCUGAGAGGGUGAUCGGCCACACUGGGACUGAGACACGGCCCAGACUCCUACGGGAGGCAGCAGUAGGGAAUCUUCCGCAAUGGACGAAAGUCUGACGGAGCAACGCCGCGUGAGUGAUGAAGGUUUUCGGAUCGUAAAGCUCUGUUGUUAGGGAAGAACAAGUGCAAGAGUAACUGCUUGCACCUUGACGGUACCUAACCAGAAAGCCACGGCUAACUACGUGCCAGCAGCCGCGGUAAUACGUAGGUGGCAAGCGUUGUCCGGAAUUA